UAAUCACUGCAGUAAUUAUCUAAAUGAAAGAGAUUCACCAUUUGCUGUGUUAAACCUGUUUGGGGGCCUUUUUUUUAGCUAGGCUGUGUAUAUACCAAGAUACAAGUGUUCUCAGAUCUGAAGUGCAUUUGUUGCAUGUCAUUCCCCAUCAAACAAAAGUCCUCAGUUCCAGUCCAGGUUUUCUGUUUUUCUACCCUACUGUGAACUACAUAAAUGACUGUCACUGUAGGAUCUUGAAAACAAUCAACCCUCAUUACAGUAAAUGACUGAAAAGUCAAUCUGAUCAGUUGCUGUGUUCAUCAGUGUGUUUUCUAGCACAUUUUAUUAUUGCAUUAAUAAGAUGCAGUUGCAAAGCUUAUAGCCAUCCCUGUAAAGCUGGUUUUCAUAAACACACUUGCUGAGUCCCAUACUGUACUGCUGCUACUGUGCUCUCAGUGCAAACAAGAGGGCUGCGCUUAAGGUCAACACCAACCAAGGGGUUACUGUCCAACGAACACUAGAAUGAGCUGAGGCUCAUUGUCUCUUCCCCCACUGGUGAAAAGUUCAACAAACCAAGCAAACGUACAACUUAAGGGCAUUUGUAACACUCAUCGCAGGAUGGUGCCUCCUUCCAAAUACACCGACUAGAGCUGAUAGUCUUAAGUAUUUAUUGUUUUUCAAGCAUAGGGAUGGACCUCAGGAUGUUUCUGAGUAUGAAUUAGGUGUUGAGUUUUAGUUGUAAAAUGAACACUCAUACCAUAUGUGGGGAUGUGAUGUCAUAGUACAUAAGUAGGAGAUGCUUUGAUAGCUUUAUUUAGUUAAUAAAGGAUUAUUGAACAUUUAUGUGCAAUGAUGGUAGGUGCUCAGGGACUAAAGAGCUAUUCUAGAUGAAACGUAGUAAUGUCCUUAUUGAAUAGAGAUUACUGGACACAGAUGGAAAAAGUCUAUGAUGAUUCAAAUGAAGGGGUUUUGUUCCAAAAAGAUACUUCCAUUGUUAACCAAGUCAGCAAAAGCGAAUCAGAUGGCUUGUAAAGUAGUUCAACUUAUUUUGGAUUUUAACUCUUAGACGAGGAAAAUAUCAGUAAGUGAAUAAACACUGGGAUGAGAAUGUGCUUCAUAUGAAGGCUAAAGGACUUUUCUGAAGUGCUUUUUGGUGAAGCAUGUCACUGGAUAUUCUGUUGUUUGUGUGUGUGAAUUUUUCUGUCAGAGGAAGAAAGUUAUAUCAGAGGACGAUCAGACAUACAGGUGGACACAGUUUCAUACUCCCAUUCACAGUCUUUUAUUCUCCAGGGUAGCUGUUCAAAUCCAACACAAAGUGCAGAUCAGUUUUCUGGUUCUGCUUUAAUAAUGCAAAACUCCAAACUGACCACAUUCACACAGCAGUCGUUUUCCUUUGAUGUCAUACUCAAAGUGAGAAGAUCAAAUGGUGAUAGUAAUAGUGUAAUGUUCUAGCUGCUGGCAAAACAACAUAUUUAUUCUGCCUGACAUGAUGAUAGCUUAUAUUAGCAUUAAACCACUUCCUAGUUCACGUUAUGAUAAUAAAGAUGUAAAUUCAUUUGAAAAUAUCAGUCACUGUUUUGCUGUGUACAGACAGAUGGAAAGACAGCAACCUAACAAGACAGAAGUAAUAUUUCAGAUGUAAUUUACAUUUUUACUGCGUCAUGCAAUGCUCUCAAAUGGCAGUGUUGGCUAGUACGUAGCAUAAUGCUAACUUAGCCUUUAGCAUUAGCCAACAGUAGCUCAAGGUUAUCGCCAACUAAAAAGACACCU